GAUGAAGAACGUAGCGAAAUGCGAUAAGUAAUGUGAAUUGCAGAAUUCAGUGAAUCAUCGAAUCUUUGAACGCACAUUGCGCCCGCCAGUAUUCUGGCGGGCAUGCCUGUCUGAGCGUCAUUUCAACCCUCAGCCCCCGCUCGCGGGGCGCUGGCGUUGGGGAUCGGCCGUCCUCGCGGCGGCCGGCCCCGAAACACAGUGGCGGUCUCGCUGUAGCUUCCUCUGCGUAGUAGCACACCUCGCACUGGGAAACAGCGCGGCCACGCCGUUAAACCCCCAACUUCUGAACGUUUGACCUCGGAUCAGGUAGGAAUACCCGCUGAACUUAAGCAUAUCAAUAAGCGGAGGA
rnacentral:misc_RNA from 1 species